rnacentral:misc_RNA from 1 species
AUGGAUCUGUAGGAGCAACGGCUGGCCAUCGGGCAAUAGCUCAAAGUAACAGUGCAGAGAUUGCUGAGGCCUUGUUUCGUUACACUGCACCAGAAGAAGUGAUGACUUUCCCAUCAACAUGUGGAGCUUGUGCAGUUAGGUGUGAGACUCGAAUGUUUGUAACCAAAAUUCCCUACUUCCAAGAAGUGAUUGUCAUGGCAACUACUUGUGAUGCUUGUGGUUACCGUAGU